CCUGACGAGCACGCCGCGUGAAGGAUGAAGGUUUUCGGAUUGUAAACUUCUUUUCUCAGGGACGAAAUCUGCCGGUCCCUGAGGAAUAAGCUCCGGCCAACUACGUGCCAGCCGGCGCAUUCCUAUGCCAGCCGCCGCGGUAAU
rnacentral:rRNA from 1 species